AUUGAACGCUGGCGGCAGGCCUAACACAUGCAAGUCGAGCGGUAACAGGGAGUGCUUGCACUCUGCUGACGAGCGGCGGACGGGUGAGUAAUGCAUAGGAAUCUGCCUGGUAGUGGGGGAUAGCCCAGAGAAAUUUGGAUUAAUACCGCAUACGCCCUACGGGGGAAAGCAGGGGAUCUUCGGACCUUGCGCUAUCAGAUGAGCCUAUGUCGGAUUAGCUUGUUGGUGAGGUAACGGCUCACCAAGGCGACGAUCCGUAGCUGGUCUGAGAGGAUGAUCAGCCACACUGGGACUGAGACACGGCCCAGACUCCUACGGGAGGCAGCAGUGGGGAAUAUUGGACAAUGGGCGAAAGCCUGAUCCAGCCAUGCCGCGUGUGUGAAGAAGGCCUUCGGGUUGUAAAGCACUUUCAGCGAGGAGGAAAGGGGUGUUGCUAAUAUCAGCGCCCUGUGACGUUACUCGCAGAAGAAGCACCGGCUAACUCCGUGCCAGCAGCCGCGGUAAUACGGAGGGUGCGAGCGUUAAUCGGAAUUACUGGGCGUAAAGCGUGCGUAGGCGGCCUUUUAAGUUGGAUGUGAAAGCCCCGGGCUCAACCUGGGAACGGCAUCCAAAACUGGGAGGCUCGAGUGCGGAAGAGGAGUGUGGAAUUUCCUGUGUAGCGGUGAAAUGCGUAGAUAUAGGAAGGAACACCAGUGGCGAAGGCGACACUCUGGUCUGACACUGACGCUGAGGUACGAAAGCGUGGGGAGCAAACAGGAUUAAAUACCCUGGUUAUCCACGCCGUAAACGAUGUCUACUAAUUUGUCGGGACUCUUGCAGUCUUGGUAACGCAGCUAACGCGAUAAGUAAACCGCCUGGGGAGUACGGCGCCAAGUUAAACUCAAUGAAAUGACGGGGGGCCGCCAAGCGGUGAACAUGUGGUUUAAUUUCGAACAACCAAAAACCUUACUGGCUUGACAUCUGCAAAUUUUAGAAAAA
rnacentral:rRNA from 1 species